GACGAACGCUGGCAGCGUGCUUAACACAUGCAAGUCGAACGGAAAGGCCCUGCUUUUGUGGGGUGCUCGAGUGGCGCACGGGUGAGUAACACGUGAGUAACCUGCCCUUGACUUUGGGAUAACUUCAGGAAACUGGGGCUAAUACCGGAUAGGAGCUCCUGCUGCAUGGUGGGGGUUGGAAAGUUUCGGCGGUUGGGGAUGGACUCGCGGCUUAUCAGCUUGUUGGUGAGGUAGUGGCUUACCAAGGCUUUGACGGGUAGCCGGCCUGGGAGGGGAACCGGCGACAUGGGGACUGAGAUAGGGCCCAGACGCCUACGGGAGGCAGCAGUGGGGAAUAUGACGCAAUGGGCGGAAGCCUGAUGCAGCAGCGCCGCGUGCGGAAUGACGGCCUUCGGGUUGUAAACCGCUUUCGCCUGUGACGAAGCGUGAGUGACGGUAAUGGGUAAAGAAGCACCGGCUAACUACGUG
rnacentral:rRNA from 1 species